rnacentral:rRNA from 1 species
CCUACGGUGGCAGCAGUGGGGAAUAUUGGACAAUGGGCGAAAGCCUGAUCCAGCCAUGCCGCGUGUGUGAAGAAGGCCUUCGGGUUGUAAAGCACUUUCAGUGGGGAAGAAAGCCUUUGGGCUAAUACCCUCGAGGAAGGACAUCACCCACAGAAGAAGCACCGGCUAACUCCGUGCCAGCAGCCGCGGUAAUACGGAGGGUGCGAGCGUUAAUCGGAAUUACUGGGCGUAAAGCGCGCGUAGGCGGUCUGAUAAGCCGGUUGUGAAAGCCCCGGGCUCAACCUGGGAACGGCAUCCGGAACUGUCAGGCUAGAGUGCAGGAGAGGAAGGUAGAAUUCCCGGUGUAGCGGGGAAAUGCGUAGAGAUCGGGAGGAAUACCAGUGGCGAAGGCGGCCUUCUGGACUGACACUGACGCUGAGGUGCGAAAGCGUGGGUAGCAAACAGGAUUAGAUACCCUGGUAGUC